rnacentral:sRNA from 1 species
CGAUUGCAGUGGAAAUCCUUUUAUUUUGUCAGUCUGAGCGGAGUCGAAGACUGGAAAAUAAAAGAUUGUAACGGAAAGCGCGACUU